GAUGAAGAACGCAGCGAAAUGCGAUACUUGGUGUGAAUUGCAGAAUCCCGUGAACCAUCGAGUCUUUGAACGCAAGUUGCGCCUCAAGCCAUUAGGUUGAGGGCACGUCUGCCUGGGCGUCACAUAUCGUUGCCUGAUGCCAGUUUCCUCGUGAUGGGUGACUGUGCAGGGCGAAUGAUGGCUUCCCGUGAGCAUUGUUGCCUCAUGGUUGGUUGAAAAUUGAGUCCUUGGUAGGGAGCGCCGUGAUAGAUGGUGGUUGAGUGACGAACGAGACCCAAUCAUGUGAGACCCCUACCGAAUUUGGCCUUCAUGACCCACAUGCGUCUUUGGAACGCUCAUGACGAGACCUCAGGUCAGGCGGAGCUACCCGCUGAGUUUAAGCAUAUCAAUAAGCGGAGGA
rnacentral:misc_RNA from 1 species